UACUUCAUCUUCCCAGGGAAAUGAAAGUCACUCUGAAGGAAAAAAACAAAGGACUUCACAGACUAGUGUAUUUGUCCAGCCAGUACCAGUGGCAGAGUUAUAUCAAGGCAUACAGCAUGAAAUCAUUAUUCCUGACAAGGAAGGAGGAAAAGUUCCAAUUACAACUGAUACACC